AUUGAACGCUGGCGGCAGGCCUAACACAUGCAAGUCGAGCGGAUGAAGGGAGCUUGCUCCUGGAUUCAGCGGCGGACGGGUGAGUAAUGCCUAGGAAUCUGCCUCGUAGGGGGGGAUAACGUCCUGAAACGGGCGCUAAUACCGCAUACGUCCUGAGGGAGAAAGUGGGGGAUCUUCGGACCUCACGCUCUCAGAUGAGCCUAGGUCGGAUUAGCUAGUUGGUGGGGUAAAGGCCUACUAAGGCGACGAUCCGUAACUGGUCUGAGAGGAUGAUCAGUCACACUGGAGCUGAGACACGGUCCAGACUCCUAAGGGAGGCAGCAGUGGGGAAUAUUGGACAAUGGGCGAAAGCAUGAUACAGCGAUGCCGCGUGUGUGAAGAAGGUCUUCGGAUUGUAAAGCACUUUAAGUGGGGAGGAAGGGCAGUAAGUUAAGACCUUGCUGUUUUGACGGUACCAACGGAAUAAGCACCGGCUAACUUCGUG
rnacentral:rRNA from 1 species